UAAUUAAGGAAGCUGUAAGGUUAGUAGGGCUGGCAGCUUUGGCUCUACCUUACAUCCACCCCUUUUAGAAAAACAAGAAAACAUUUUGUCUGGCACUAGUUUCUGUUGUAUACGUUUUCAUACUGUUUAACAAGACCACAGCAGGUAAGGAUUAAUUUUUGAGUGGCUGCUGGAAUUACUUGAUUUGAAUACUUAGUAUUUUAGUAGUCUCUCACACAUUUGCCAUUAGGUAUGAAUAAAAUAUUCCUACUGUACUCCUAUUCCACUAAGUUACAUUUUGAACUUAGACUCGCCUUAAUUAAACUUAAUUAAUUGGGGAGGGGGAUUCCCCAACAAAAAGAAGUACGGGCUCAGAGUGGAAUUGUAGUGGACAAUAGUUAAAAACAAAGCUGCUCCUUUUGCUUGCUUGAUCAUUGGGAUUUUUUAAAAAAAAAUUUUAAUGCAUGUCUUUUAAAUUAAUUGGGAACUGUUUUUCUAAAAUUAAAAUUUUCUUCUUCCUAUAGCCCUGCCAUAGGACAGGCUGAGGCUGAGUCUCAGUGUUGCCCUGUUCAGUCUGAGGCAAAGAAUUUCAGCAUUUGCUACUUACUGGUAGAGAAGAAAAAUCCCACAGCCCUGCCAGUACAGGUUAGUUUAAUCUGUAAGUACCUGAUGUUCCUAUUUUUUUCAAACAUAUCCAUAUAACUCACACAAGGAAGAAAGCUGUGCGGUUACUUAAAUGUUAGUAUAACUAAUAAUAGAUCCAUUGGACACUUCAAAACACUCAGUACUUGGGCCAAAGUAGAUCUAGGUUUGCUAACCCCAGUUGUAAUAAAGGUGUAAUACUGCUCCUUUGUUAUCUCCUUGUGGUUCAACCUAAGUAGAUACAUUGUACAUAAAAGGAAAAGACAGUUUCAGUUGGCUAUGCCCUUGUUGAUAGAUGAUAUGGAGUCCAGGGCUUUGGGUCCAGGGUCUUUUACUUAAGCUAUUUCAUGGUGGUUCUCUCAUUCACCUUUUAACUUUUUACAGUAUGAAUCAACCUAAGAAAAAAGGCAAGUUUCCUCACAUCUAGAAAUGAUAAAUGGUGUACAGUCAUAAGCUAGAAUAUGUUUUUA
rnacentral:sRNA from 1 species